AGUGAACGCUGGCGGCAGGCCUAACACAUGCAAGUCGAGCGGCAGCGGGUUCCCGCGAGGGGAUGCCGGCGAGCGGCGGACGGGUGAGGAACACAUCGGAAUCUGCCUGGUUGUGGGGGAUAACGUAGGGAAACUUACGCUAAUACCGCAUGCGACCCUGAGUCGACGGACUGGGGGUGAAAGUGAGGGACCUUCGGGCCUCACGCGACCAGAUGAGCCGAUGUCGGAUUAGCUAGUUGGCGGGGUAACGGCCCGCCAAGGCGACGAUCCGUAGCUGGUC
rnacentral:rRNA from 1 species